UGAAGCGUUAAGAUACAUAAUUAAUUACUUAUAUCGAGUACAUGUUUAUAUGAAUGAAAUCGUUUUUCAUAUAAAAUUUUUGUUUUCCGCUGCGUACACGUGCCUGAUUCCCAACAGUUCAAACACCAAUACCUGCGAAAAAAAAAAAGUUAAACAAACAAUGAAUUUUGCUUCAAAUUUGAAACUGCAGACACACACUAUCACCUACUAAUAACAUACACAUCACCAGCAUAUAUGAAUACAUACUACUAUAUGUAUUCAUAUAUAGUAUACUGUAGUCAUUGUAGUAAUGUGUUGUAUGUAAUCGACUAUAGCUUGAAAUAUAUGUUAGUACGGAGAAAACCUAAACUUCAAAAUGAACCAAAAUUUCAAGGGGCAAGGCAUAAAAUGGAUCUAAAAUAUUCACCAAGCAUACAAAAUUUUACUUAAUCACGACAUGCAUGCAUGUCAUUCAAAUGGAUGAAAAAACUCCAAGAUAGAAUAUUAUAUAAUAAACUAAAACAUGCACACACACACACAAACAAAUUUCCUUCAUGUAGAAUUUUGAAGCUGUAAAUAUUCAAAAUAUUUUAUUUGUUGCUCAGGUAAUUGAGGCGUGCAAAUAGAAUUUAUUUACAUACUACUGAUUCAAAUAUUUUUGGUAAAUGGUCACUAUAACAGAUAUUGUUAGAUUUUAAGAUUAAAAACCACAAAAUUAAUAGGGCCACCUGCCAGGACAUGAGUCCGUCAAACUAAAUCAAGUAAUAUCAAGUUGGUUUAAGCCUACAGACUUGUUUGUUUCCAUAAUAAUGGGAUUCAUUUGGAAAAAGUCAGUUCCCUACUGUCACCUUAUCAAUUUUAAGACACAUAACACUCAACACCAACUCACACACACACAAACAAAGAAAUCGACCAAACACGAAAGUGAUUAAAAAAUCUAGCCAAUUGAAACUACAUAUUAGUUGAGUCGAAGAAUCAGAUCGAAUAAUAACUCACAAAACUAAAUAAAUAAAAAUAUCCGCCAUCCACACUCGAAGAAAUUCAGUCAGAAGAAGUGGAGUUGAAAGUGCAAUGAAAACAUUCCAUAUAAUAGAAAAAAAAAAAUGGGGGUUUAAGGUUAAAUAAAUUACCCAUGAAAAGGACAUGAGAGCCGCAGGGCCUGCAGUAAUAGACGAAGAGAUCGAAGUCGGGACCUUCAGCAAAUCGUCCUUGCUCGACAAUUUGAUGGUGGCGAGGACGUCGGCGACGGUGGUGGACGAAGAGAGGGAGCAGAGCGGCGGAGGGCGUCGGCAACGGUGGUGCACGAAGAGAGGGAGAGAGGCUGUGGAGGGCGUCAACGACGGUGGUGGAAGAAGAGAAGGGGCGGAGCGGCCUUUUGCCCGGGAAGAGAGAAGACAUGGAGACGCUGGAUCUGGAUC
rnacentral:lncRNA from 1 species